GAGCUUUAAACCCAACUACACUCCUUUUUGACUUUACUUUUUAACUCCUAGGAUUUUGUAUGUUCUGGUUUUAGGUNGGGGUGACCGCGGA
rnacentral:rRNA from 1 species